rnacentral:rRNA from 1 species
UGGGGAAUAUUGCACAAUGGGCGCAAGCCUGAUGCAGCCAUGCCGCGUGUAUGAAGAAGGCCUUCGGGUUGUAAAGUACUUUCAGCGGGGAGGAAGGCGAUAAGGUUAAUAACCUUGUCGAUUGACGUUACCCGCAGAAGAAGCACCGGCUAACUCCGUGCCAGCAGCCGCGGUAAUACGGAGGGUGCAAGCGUUAAUCGGAAUUACUGGGCGUAAAGCGCACGCAGGCGGUCUGUCAAGUCGGAUGUGAAAUCCCCGGGCUCAACCUGGGAACUGCAUUCGAAACUGGCAGGCUAGAGUCUUGUAGAGGGGGGUAGAAUUCCAGGUGUAGCGGUGAAAUGCGUAGAGAUCUGGAGGAAUACCGGUGGCGAAGGCUGCCCCCUGGACAAAGACUGACGCUCAGGUGCGAAAGCGUGGGGAGCAAACA